rnacentral:rRNA from 1 species
UACGUAGGGUGCAAGCGUUAAUCGGAAUUACUGGGCGUAAAGCGCACGUAGGCGGAUCGAUCAGUCAGGGGUGAAAUCCCAGAGCUCAACUCUGGAACUGCCUUUGAUACUGUCGAUCUGGAGUAUGGAAGAGGUGAGUGGAAUUCCGAGUGUAGAGGUGAAAUUCGUAGAUAUUCGGAGGAACACCAGUGGCGAAGGCGGCUCACUGGUCCAUUACUGACGCUGAGGUGCGAAAGCGUGGGGAGCAAACAGG